GGAUGCAGGUGAUUCCAAAAGUGAGUUUGUAAGUAUCACGUACUAAACCAAGAAUUGUUUCUAUGCUUUAUUGUCUUCAAGUAAAUCAUAAUAUAUUGCAGCUAUGAAUGAUCAAGUUGAUGCCAGCAAUGAAAGUGACAUGGGAAAUUCAAUGGAUGAAUUUUAUGGUAUGUAAAAUGUAUUUAUUUCAUCUUUAAUUCAUCUACUGUGUUGGCCGAUUGGUUGUAUAUUUUCAAACACUGCAAAUGGUGUAGAUGAAUUAAUAGGUAAUAAAAAUCUAGAAAGUGAAGAAGUGUAGGGCAACCAUGGCCUUGCAAGGAGUUUUUGGUCAGUUUCAUGUUGCCUCUUUAUUUGAUCUAGUAGUAAACCUUCUGGAUAGAUAAUUUGGGAAUUGGUACACAAUUUAACUUCUGUUGUUUUUAUUCCAAUAAUAUAAGAUCAGUAUGGAUAGUCUAUUUUCUAAGACACACAAGAAGGGUACAACCUUUGUUGAUUGUACAACCUCCGCCAAACACGUAAGACUUAAUUUAACUGUAAUAACUUCAAUAAUGAACAACAAGUGUAUAAUUCCUACUUAGAGAUAGAAGUAACUUACUGUUGGCGCUCCAACAACAAGUGUACAAUUCCUACUUAGAGAUAGAAGUAACUUACUGUUGGUGCUCCAGACACAAACUAAGACCAUAGUUUAACUCGAAGAAAAGUUCAAUGGCAUGGUGUAAGAAGUUUCUGAAAUUAAGCGACUUGUGUCGGGUAGUUCUCUAAGUGAUAGUUCUCAUGAAAGCCAACAUGAUCAAGUAAGUUGUUAUUAUACAUUGAUUUUAUAUGUUAUUACACUUUGUGCCAAUUUAUUCACAUGGGCUGACUUCCAUAAACUACUCAACAUUUUGUAGGAUUGAUGGUCCACCGUGAUAUAUAGAAGUAUCAAGUAUCAGGAGGCAGUGUAAGAGCUGAUGAAGAAUGGUAUCCAUUCGAACAAUGAUGGCGUCCCUCGAUUGAAGAUAAAUAAAUAUUAUAUUUUCUAGUUGUCUCGUUUUCCAAAUAGAUAUGAUCAAGUCCAUUGGUCAUAUAAGGAUUGCUUUUGACUCAAAUUUCUGAAAUGAUAUUUUUUCAGAAUUGUAUGUCGGAAUAUUGGUAUUUCUAUCUAUUAAUGAAAGAGGCUAUGGCCCUUACAAUUCAGAU
rnacentral:lncRNA from 1 species